CUUCAACGAGCUCCUGCCCAGCAAUUUCCUCCUGUUGAACACCUGGGUCCUCGGUCACUUGCUCGUCUACUCACAACAAUACAAACAAACACGGUAUAGGAGAAAUUAACAUCACACCAAACAGCAGAGCAGAAUGCAUGAUAAUAUUCUACGUGGCGUAAUGAGAUCGUAAGAACAAGAAUCACUAAAUUCGGAGUUACGAUUAUCGAGUUAUGAUUUUCUGAAAUUAUUAAGUGAUUGCUAUAUAUUAAACCAAAUGAAUAAAUUUGAUCUAUGUUUCAUGACUAAACAGAGUUACCAGGUGAUAGACAAUAUUAAUACAAAAUUAUUGCAACUGGAAUGGAUUAAAAAGGAUUCAAGAUGAAUUUUCUAUGAAUUAUGAUUCUGGAAUUAUUUUAGUACAAGAAAGGUAAUUUCUAUAUUAUUUUUCCCAAUUUUCCUCGGUCACUGGACUGGGCGCACUAUUAUACUAAAGCUCAGGGUCAUUUUAUAAAAAUCAGGGCCAUUCUGCAAUGGUUUUAACCCUAACCCGGACUGCGGGUUGAUUCCUAUAAAGUUCAGGGGUUCAUAUGAAAAUUUGUAUUCGCGAAGGGGUACGGGUUUAUAUGCGUCGCCCGAUCAAGAUCCUACGGCUCCGAUUCAAUCACCCGAGGGGGUACGCUUGAUCUAACCUUGAUCGCACAUUGGCCGAUCUACGGCCAAGAUCCAAUGGCCCGAAUCGGAAGUACUCGACUUAAUCACAUCCGUCUAUUUAGAUCGAACGACCCACACCCAUCUCCCACCUUCGGACGCCGACACGGCAGCGACGCGCAACCGUCGAGCGACCACGCCGGCGAGCACGCGGCUCCCUGACCCAGCGCCCCAACUGUACCGCCACCACAAGUAACGCGACGCGAAGUUUAUAACAAACUAGGGUAUGGCGUCUUACCGGGGUUGCGGGGGUGCCCAAACUGGUCCACGGGGUGGGAAAGCUCCGCGCUGCCACCCAAUUCCGGUGAAGAAUCUCCACCAGACCACGACGUUCCGUGCCAAAUCGAGGGUUGAUAUGCUUUCCUAUCGCGCUCGCGAAGCUCCCAA
rnacentral:lncRNA from 1 species